GCCUGAAUAGCUCACUCAGGAGAGCCUCAGACUUUCAAUCUGAGGGUCUAGGGUUCAAGUCCCUGUUCAGGUG
rnacentral:tRNA from 1 species